rnacentral:rRNA from 1 species
AGACCCGAAACCCGGUGAUCUAGCCAUGGGCAGGUUGAAGGUUGGGUAACACUAACUGGAGGACCGAACCGACUAAUGUUGAAAAAUUAGCGGAUGACCUGUGGCUGGGGGUGAAAGGCCAAUCAAACCGGGAGAUAGCUGGUUCUCCCCGAAAGCUAUUUAGGUAGCGCCUCGUGAAUUCAUCUCCGGGGGUAGAGCACUGUUUCGGCUAGGGGGCCAUCCCGGCUUACCAACCCGAUGCAAACUGCGAAUACCGGAGAAUGUUAUCACGGGAGACACACGGCGGGUGCUAACGUCCGUCGUGAAGAGGGAAACAACCCAGACCGCCAGCUAAGGUCCCAAAGUCAUGGUUAAGUGGGAAACGAUGUGGGAAGGCCCAGACAGCCAGGAUGUUGGCUUAGAAGCAGCCAUCAUUUAAAGAAAGCGUAAUAGCUCACUGGUCGAGUCGGCCUGCGCGGAAGAUGUAACGGGGCUAAACCAUGCACCGAAGCUGCGGCAGCGACACUGUGUGUUGUUGGGUAGGGGAGCGUUCUGUAAGCCUGUGAAGGUGUGUCGUGAGGCAUGCUGGAGGUAUCAGAAGUGCGAAUGCUGACAUAA